rnacentral:rRNA from 1 species
UUCUUAAAAAUUUCUUAAAAAUUUCUUAAUUAGAAUUGCAAAUAUUUGAUUUUAGGGUAAAAUUUAAUUUUGGUUUAUAAGGUUUGUUUUAACUUAGUUUAACAUGUAAUAAUUUUGUUAUUUUUAUAUAUAGAAUAUUGCUAUCAGGAAGUUAAUGAUUUUAGCAAAACUCAAACGUUUGAGUUUCUAGCUUUGUUAUUUUGUGGUUAAGAUUGUGCCAGCAUCUGCGGUUAUACUUUCACUGAAAACUUUUAUUGGAGUUUAAGUUAUUACUAAAAACAUUUUUGUUUUAGGUGAAAUUAAUUAAUUUAAUUUUUAAGUUAACUUAAAAAUUAAAUUAUUAAACUAGGAUUAGAUACCCUACUAUAUAUUUAUUCUAAAAAAUUAGAUUUAAAAUUAAUAAAUUUGGCGGCUUUAAUAACUCAGAGGAGCUUGUUUAUUAAACCGAUAAACCCCGGUAUUUUGUACCCGUGUUUUUCUUUUAUACCGUCAUUUAAAUAAUUUCUUAUGAAUAUUAUUGUAAAAUUUAUAAAAAUUUAGAUCGAGGUGAAGACAUACCCGGGGUUUAAUUAGCUACACUAAGAAUUUUUUUACUAAUUUUAAUAAAUUUAAAAGUUUGUACAGGAUUUGAUAGUAAUGUUUACAGUAGUGAUAGACCUACUAAAGUGUACAAAUUGCCCGUCACUCCCUUUGGGAUAAGUCGAAACAAAGUAGAAUAACCUGAAGGUUAUUCUA